UACGUAGGCAGCAAGCGUUGUUCGGAGUUACUGGGCGUAAAGGGUGUGUAGGCGGCUCUCUAAGUUUGGUGUGAAAUCUCCCGGCUCAACUGGGAGGGUGCGCCGAAUACUGAAGGGCUAGAGUGCGGGAGAGGAGAGUGGAAUUCCUGGUGUAGCGGUGAAAUGCGUAGAUAUCAGGAGGAACACCGGUGGUGUAGACGGCUCUCUGGACCGUAACUGACGCUGAAACACGAAAGCGUGGGUAG
rnacentral:rRNA from 1 species